GACACUUAACUUUAAGUUAGCAGAUCAAUAUCACCUUAAAAAGUGAACCACGCAAAGACAAAAUUGCUCUUUCAGGAGAAAAACACAUUUCCUUUCAGCCUUCAGAACUGUAGCCACCAGUAGGUGGUGUUUCUGAAAUGUCAGAGCACUUCUCCCCUACAGAUGAAAUGCAAAACUCCACCUGCACUACUGCUGCUUUUCAUGCAGGACUCCACGCUCACUGCUGCUCCACAUUCACUGCAAAGAAACCUAUUUCAUCCGAGGCCCUUUGAGCAGAACGAUUCUACCACGCGUCAAGAUGACAACACACACCUGAAAAUGUAAAUAUACAGACGACACAGGACUGACUCGCAGGUGACAUUCCCUGCAGCUCUGCACACCUAAAGGCAAGUUUAUCCUGGCACGGCAGUGGAAGUUGACACAUCCAUUAAGUGAGUACCUGAACGAGAAGCAGCCUUCUGCUGUCUGCAGGAAAACCAGCUCUGGAAAAAUGGAAUUAAGGUCCAAGGAUGUGCAAUGAGUAUUAACGGAACACAAAUGGAGCUAGAAUUCUGCCAUCUUCCGACCUGCACGGAGGAGAACUGCUGAUGAAAACCUUUCUUUGAAAUGAUCCAAGUACCAUUAUGGUAAAAAGAUCCCGACGUGAUCUUACA